GCCGCCAUUUCAAAUCGAAAUAUAGGGACAGGGUAUAUAUAAUAUUUUUUACAUUUUUUAUUUGCAAAUCUUUUUAUAUUUUCUUUUUAUUUAGAGUACGUAUCUAUAUUUAGUUGUAUUUCUGGACCUCAAUAGUCUUCAUAACCAGUAAGAUGGACGCAGAUACAGAGCAGGUGACGGACAACACAGAAACUUCCCAAGAUGCAUCUGAGGAGCCAAUAUCAGAAAACAAAUCCAGGGGUCGUGGUGGGUUCAAAGGGCGUGGCCAGGGGUUCCGGAUUGGUCGAGGAGGCAUGCAUGGUGGGCGGGGCCUGAUGAUGAAAGGAUUUGGCCCACCCGGACGAGGCAGGGGGGAUAGAGGACGGGGUGGGGACAUGAAUGGGUUUGGACCCAUGAGGUAAGGAAUUGAUGCUUCUGUAUGCAUGGGAUGGUACCAGUGUUGUUUCAAAGCCAGGGAGCUGAAUGAAUGACAGGUAUUCACAUGCUAUUUCUGGAAUACAUU